GGCCUUGGUGUUGCUCGUUCGUUCCUGUCUGUGACGAACGUGGUGUCAGAAAAGGCGCACAGUAAAUCUUUUCACGGUGCAGAGUAAAGGCAGGACAUCUCACUGAGUCCUGACUCUUCUGCCUCGAGAAGAACACUC